rfam:Shinella sp. 65-6 SCNpilot_expt_1000_bf_scaffold_5406, whole genome shotgun sequence.
AGAAGGGCUUCCGCGACGGUAACGUUGAGGGGGCCUUUUUCUUUUGC